rnacentral:rRNA from 1 species
CUGACACAGGUGCUGCAUGGCGUGUCGUCAGCUCCGUGUCGUGAGAUGUUGGGUUAAGUCCCGUAACGAGCGCAACCCUUGUCCUUAGUUACCAGCACGUUAUGGUGGGCACUCUAAGGAGACUGCCGGUGACAAACCGGAGGAAGGUGGGGAUGACGUCAAGUCAUCAUGGCCCUUACGGCCUGGGCUACACACGUGCUACAAUGGUCGGUACAAAGGGUUGCCAAGCCGCGAGGUGGAGCUAAUCCCAUAAAACCGAUCGUAGUCCGGAUCGCAGUCUGCAACUCGACUGCGUGAAGUCGGAAUCGCUAGUAAUCGUGAAUCAGAAUGUCACGGUGAAUACGUUCCCGGGCCUU